GGCCUGGUGGUGUAGUAAUGGUAACACAUCCUCUCCAAAUUAGUCCGUGAGAAGCACGAUGUAAGGAAGACCCUCGUUCGAAUCGAGGCCAGGCCA